rnacentral:rRNA from 1 species
UACAGAGGUCUCAAGCGUUGUUCGGAUUCAUUGGGCGUAAAGGGUGCGUAGGUGGCGCCGUAAGUCAGGUGUGAAAUUUCGGAGCUUAACUCCGAAACUGCAUUUGAUACUGCGGUGCUUGAGGACUGGAGAGGAGACUGGAAUUUACGGUGUAGCAGUGAAAUGCGUAGAGAUCGUAAGGGAAGACCAGUGGCGAAGGCGGGUCUCUGGACAGUUCCUGACACUGAGGCACGAAGGCCAGGGGAGCAAACGGG